GCCCGCCUAGCUCAAUCGGAUAGAGCGUCAGACUCUUAGUUCAUGACAACAGGCGGGUAUCUGAAGGCUGCGAGUUCGACCCUCGCGGUGGGCU